UAGCUAGUUGGUGGGGUAAGGGCCUACCAAGGCGACGAUCGGUAGCUGGUCUGAGAGGAUGACCAGCCACACUGGAACUGAGACACGGCCCAGACUCCUACGGGAGGCAGCAGUGGGGAAUAUUGGACAAUGGGGGCAACCCUGAUCCAGCAAUGCCGCGUGUGUGAAGAAGGCCUGAGGGUUGUAAAGCACUUUCAGUGGGGAGGAGGGUUGAUAGGUUAAGAGCUAAUUAACUGGACGUUACCCACAGAAGAAGCACCGGCUAACUCCGUGCUAGCAGCCGCGGUAAUACGGAGGGUGCGAGCGUUGAUCGGAAUUACUGGGCGUAAAGGGUGCGUAGGUGGUUGAUUAAGUUAUCUGUGAAAUUCCUGGGCUUAACCUGGGACGGUCAGAUAAUACUGGUUGACUCGAGUAUGGGAGAGGGUAGUGGAAUUUCCGGUGUAGCGGUGAAAUGCGUAGAGAUCGGAAGGAACACCAGUGGCGAAGGCGGCUACCUGGCCUAAUACUGACACUGAGGCACGAAAGCGUGGGGAGCAAACAGGAUUAGAUACCCUGGUAGUCCACGCUGUAAACGAUGUCAACUAGCUGUUGGUUAUAUGAAAAUAAUUAGUGGCGC
rnacentral:rRNA from 1 species